rnacentral:rRNA from 1 species
GACAGAGGGUGCAAACGUUGUUCGGAAUUACUGGGCGUAAAGCGCGUGUAGGCGGUUUGGUAAGUCGGAUGUGAAAGCCCCGGGCUCAACCCGGGAAGUGCACUCGAUACUGCCAAGCUAGAGUAUCGGAGAGGUUGGUGGAAUUCUCGGUGUAGAGGUGAAAUUCGUAGAUAUCGAGAGGAACACCGGUGGCAAAGGCGGCCAACUGGACGAAUACUGACGCUGAGACUCGAAAGCGUGGGGAGCAAACAGG